GAUGAACGCUGGCGGCGUGCCUAAUACAUGCAAGUCGAACGCAUUGUGGUUGAAAUGAUAUGAAGAACUUGUUCAGAUUUGAUUUUCAACAUUGCAAUGAGUGGCGAACGGGUGAGUAACACGUGGGAAACCUACCUCUUAGCAGGGGAUAACAUUUGGAAACAAAUGCUAAUACCGUAUAAUAAUUAAAACCGCAUGGUUUUAGUUUAAAAGAUGGUCUUGCUAUCACUAAGAGAUGGUCCCGCGGUGUAUUAGUUAGUUGGUGAGGUAAUGGCUCACCAAGACAAUGAUACAUAGCCGAGUUGAGAGACUGACCGGCCACAAUGGGACUGAGACACGGCCCAUACUCCUACGGGAGGCGAGCAGUAGGGAAGUAC
rnacentral:rRNA from 1 species